GCAUUGAUGGUGUAGCGGUAACAUUGGGUCUUCCCAUUAUUCGAAGUUGGCCUAGCUCCGGGUUCGACUCCCGGUCAAUGCA